rnacentral:rRNA from 1 species
CCAAUGAAAUUGAUCCUUCAGUACAAAAGCUGGAAUUAACCCAUAAGACGAGAAGACCCUGUGGAGCUUCAAAACCAAAAUCACUAAACAUGCCUCCUGGUUUUUUAGUUGGGGCGACUUUGGAGCAAAAAAAAUCCUCCAAAACAUAAAGUCAUUUAUUAAGAAAAACACACCAAAAAUAAUAUUAUAGACCCAGCAGUACUAGUUUACUGUCUGAUCAAUGAACCAAGUUACCCCAGGGAUAACAGCGCCAUCCUCUUCUAGAGUCCUUAUCGACAAGAGGGUUUACGACCUCGAUGUUGGAUCAGGACAC